rnacentral:rRNA from 1 species
GAUGAACGCUGGCGGCGUGCCUAAUACAUGCAAGUCGAGCGAACAGACGAGGAGCUUGCUCCUCUGAUGUUAGCGGCGGACGGGUGAGUAACACGUGGAUAACCUACCUAUAAGACUAGGAUAACUUCGGGAAACCGGAGCUAAUACCGGAUAACAUGUUGAACCGCAUGGUUCAACAGUGAAAGACGGUCUUGCUGUCACUUAUAGAUGGAUCCGCGCCGCAUUAGCUAGUUGGUAAGGUAACGGCUUACCAAGGCAACGAUGCGUAGCCGACCUGAGAGGGUGAUCGGCCACACUGGAACUGAGACACGGUCCAGACUCCUACGGGAGGCAGCAGUAGGGAAUCUUCCGCAAUGGGCGAAAGCCUGACGGAGCAACGCCGCGUGAGUGAAGAAGGUCUUCGGAUCGUAAAACUCUGUUAUUAGGGAAGAACAAAUGUGUAAGUAACUAUGCACGUCUUGACGGUACCUAAUCAGAAAGCCACGGCUAACUACGUG